CAGAAGCUAGUUUAACAAAAAUUGCUGUUUUGGGGACAGCAGAUGCAGUCUUGUCCCUGCGCUCCUGA
rnacentral:tRNA from 1 species